rnacentral:rRNA from 1 species
GAUGAACGCUGGCGGCGUGCCUAAUACAUGCAAGUCGAGCGAACAGACGAGGAGCUUGCUCCUCUAACGUUAGCGGCGGACGGGUGAGUAACACGUGGAUAACCUACCUAUAAGACUGGGAUAACUUCGGGAAACCGGAGCUAAUACCGGAUAAUAUAUUGAACCGCAUGGUUCAAUAGUGAAAGACGGUUUUGCUGUCACUUAUAGAUGGAUCCGCGCCGCAUUAGCUAGUUGGUAAGGUAACAGCUUACCAAGGCAACGAUGCGUAGCCGACCUGAGAGGGUGAUCGGCCACACUGGAAAUGAGACGCGGUCCAAACUCCUACGGGAGGCAGCAGUAGGGAAUCUUCCGCAAUGGGCGAAAGCCUGACGGAGCAACGCGGCGUGAGUGAUGAAGGUCUUCGGAUCGUAAAACUCUGUUAUUAGGGAAGAACAAAUGUGUAAGUAACUAUGCACGUCUUGACGGUACCUAAGCAGAAAGCCACGGCUAACUACGU